AUGGGCGGUGUCACGGGGUAUGACUAUAUAGGUCUUGUAGAGGAGAAACAGGCGCAUCUUUAGCGCAAGGUAUCGAAGGGCGCUAUGUUCAAAAAUCUGAAACUAGAGCUCAAAAUUUCAAAAAAAAAUUGUUAAAAACAGGGGGGUUGGCCUAUUCCAUGGCUUCUAGAGAAAAAUAAUGAGGGGUGUCACGGGGUAUGACUAUAUAGGUCUU